AAAUUGAAGAGUUUGAUCAUGGCUCAGAUUGAACGCUGGCGGCAGGCCUAACACAUGCAAGUCGAACGGUAACAGGAAGCAGCUUGCUGCUUUGCUGACGAGUGGCGGACGGGUGAGUAAUGUCUGGGAAACUGCCUGAUGGAGGGGGAUAACUACUGGAAACGGUGGCUAAUACCGCAUAACGUCGCAAGACCAAAGAGGGGGACCUUCGGGCCUCUUGCCAUCAGAUGUGCCCAGAUGGGAUUAGCUUGUUGGUGAGGUAACGGCUCACCAAGGCGACGAUCCCUAGCUGGUCUGAGAGGAUGACCAGCCACACUGGAACUGAGACACGGUCCAGACUCCUACGGGAGGCAGCAGUGGGGAAUAUUGCACAAUGGGCGCAAGCCUGAUGCAGCCAUGCCGCGUGUAUGAAGAAGGCCUUCGGGUUGUAAAGUACUUUCAGCGGGGAGGAAGGUGUUGUGGUUAAUAACCGCAGCAAUUGACGUUACCCGCAGAAGAAGCACCGGCUAACUCCGUGCCAGCAGCCGCGGUAAUACGGAGGGUGCAAGCGUUAAUCGGAAUUACUGGGCGUAAAGCGCACGCAGGCGGUCUGUCAAGUCGGAUGUGAA
rnacentral:rRNA from 1 species